AACAAGGCGUACCUGCGGACCUGCGGAAGGAUCAUUACAAGUGACCCCGGUCUAACCACCGGGAUGUUCAUAACCCUUUGUUGUCCGACUCUGUUGCCUCCGGGGCGACCCUGCCUUCGGGCGGGGGCUCCGGGUGGACACUUCAAACUCUUGCGUAACUUUGCAGUCUGAGUAAACUUAAUUAAUAAAUUAAAACUUUCAGCAACGGAUCU
rnacentral:misc_RNA from 1 species